rnacentral:rRNA from 1 species
CAAUAGCGUAUAUUAAAGUUGUUGCAGUUAAAAAGCUCGUAGUUGAAUUUUUGCUUGCCGCCGAUGUCGGAACUUCCGUACGUUCGGCGGCGUGCAUCCUUGGGUGGAACCUGUGUGGCAUUAGGUUGUCGUGCAGGGGAUGCUCAUCGUUUACUGUGAAAAAAUUAGAGUGUUCAAAGCAGGCUUACGCCGUUGAAUAUAUUAGCAUGGAAUAAUAAGAUAGGACCUUGGUACUAUUUUGUUGGUUUGCGCACCGAGGUAAUGAUUAACAGGGACAGUGGGGGGUAUUCGUAUUCCAUUGUCAGAGGUGAAAUUCUUGGAUUUCUGGAAGACGAACUACUGCGAAAGCAUUUACCAAGGAUGUUUUCAUUAA